UAAUAGCAUAAGCAUCAUGGAGACACCAGAUCCCAUCUGCUUUUUGAAGCUAAGCAGGGUCAACACUGACUAGUACUUGGAUAGGAAAUUCCCCAAGAAUAUCAGAGGUGGAAGUCU
rnacentral:rRNA from 1 species